AUGCCCCUGUGGCAGAGAGGAAGGAGAGGCAGUGAAAUUGGGGUAGCUGUGUUGGACACCUGCCUCUGGGAGAUUUCCGUGCCUUCGCUGCCUUCAGGAAGCCCUGUGGGGCGGUCACAAUCACUCCCGGGACCCUCAGUGCCUUCAGAUUCCUUUGUCACCUCCUUUGGGGGACUCUGGCUUUCUUGGGGGCUGACAGCCACUGCCUUGGCAGGUGGGACGAUCUCAGGCCAGCAGCCCCACUGCAGACCAGUGGGCAUCGGACGAAGGCUGCUCCACCUGGGGUGUCUCCCGCUGCAGGUGGACAGCCAAGAAGUCCUGCAGUCUGCUCCGGAGCAGCCCUCAACCCUUCCCACUUCUUUUCCCCAGAACAUAGCUCACGUCUGUCACCUCGUGCAAGGAAAAGUCUGCCCUUGGUAAGCGGAGUGUAUUGUCUCUGCGAAGAGAAGCUGCUUGUCUGACUCAAGGGUCCCCUCCUGGCGUUGAAUUUCUCCCCGCCCAUUGCGCCCAUCCCACGGCAACCUGGGCAAGGGGCUGUUCUCGCUGCAAGCGCACGUGGACGCUCUUCUAGCAUGGUGGAGGCAAAGCUGGAGAUUUGCCAAGAUUUGUCCCUGGAGAGACUCAGCGACGAGACAGCGGCAGGACACACCGCAUGCAACAUGCCACAGGGCACUGCUGCGAGGCGGACCUUGCUCUUUAAACCUGCGGGUCCUGCCACCGCCAGCGCCCGCUCUGCAUUCUGGGCCAGGGCAGGGAGCCUGUGUGCCCAGUCCGCUUGACGCAGGCUCCUCCUCCUGCUGACCUGCUCCACUCCCGCUUCUGUUCAGAGCACCCAGCGCUGCCUCCAACAGCUGGUGCUGGAAACCACCGCCCCCUUCGGAGGACACCAUGUCUAUUCCAGGGCCAGGAGCUCAUGGGCUCAGCAUUGCAACCAAACCCAGAUACGAGGCAGGGACCCCGGCCUUCAUGAUGAGUUCACGUCAUACCCCUGCCCGUCACAUUGCGGUGACCCUCAUUUCCGCCCUCUUCUGCUCUUGUCACCUGUCUCAGGAGGCUCUCGCCCAGCCCUGAUCCUGAAACUGCAGAACGUGGGAACACAGGACUUCUCUGUCUGUCCGGUCUCAGGAUUCAUUUACACUCUUAAGUCUUGCUCAGGGGGUAGGUGUUUUGUGCAGCAGUUUAAACAGCACUUAGGAUGCCUGCAUCCCAUGCUGCAAGGCCUGGGUCCAAGUCCCUGUAGAUUCCUGCUAAUGCAUACCCUUGCAUGCACCUUUCUGCCAGUGUGCACCUGGGAAGCAGCAGGGGAUGGCUCAAGUCACUGGGUCCCUGCCACUCCUGUGGGAGACCUGGAUUGAGUUCUGGGUUCCUGGAUUCUAGCCGGACUAGCCCUGACUGCUGCAGGCAUUUGUGGAGUGAAUCCGUGGGUGGGAGAUCACUGUCUAUGUCUGUCUCUCUACCUUUCAAACAAAAAAAUCUGUAAGUUACCGAGAUCCUUAGAGAUUGUCUGAGUUGUAUCUGUCAAUAUUUACCAUCUGUAUUAAAAACAGAAAAAUUCAACAAAUAUUACUGUACUGAUUCUUGUAAAAAUAGCAAUAUAGGUUCAUGUCAUAUCAACAUAAAUAAUAUUUUAAAUAAAAAGUAAUUAUAUUUCCCCA
ensembl:lncRNA